AAUUUUGGACAAUGGGGGAAACCCUGAUCCAGCCAUCCCGCGUGUAUGAUGAAGGCCUUCGGGUUGUAAAGUACUUUUUGCAGAGAGGAAAAGGCAUCCGCUACUACGGGAUGCUGCUGACGGAAUCUGCAGAAUAAGCCCCGACCAACGACGUCCCAGCAGCCGCGGUCAUACGUAGGGUGGAAGCGUUAAUCGGAAGUACUGGGCGUAAGGCGGGGGUCGGCGGUUCGGAGGUAAAGAUGUGAAGACCCAGGGCUCAACCUUGGAACUGCAUUUUUAACUGCCGAACUGGAGGAUGACAGAGGAGGGUAGAAGACCACGUGUAGCAGUGAAGUGCGUAGAUGUGUGGAGAAAUACCGAUAGCGAAGGCGGCCACCUGGGAUAAUGCUGACGAUCAGACGCGGAGGCGUGGGGGGCAAACAGG
rnacentral:rRNA from 1 species